AAGUAGUGUUUAAAAUUUUUUGAAGAACGUAUGUAGCUUUUAAAUUUAGCGUAUGUAUAAAUAUUACUAAUAAACAGUUGUAACGAUUAUAGGAAGUAAAGUUGUUAUUGCAAUAUUAUACUUUGUUUAAAUGAAGUUCAGAAUCUACCAAACAAAUGUUACGCUUGGAACCGUCUUUUUACUUAGUAUAUCUAGUGAAUGUUUGUUCUGUGCUGCAUAAUAACAAAUAGAAGACUACAUCAACUUUCUGAAGAAUCAAACAAAUUUUAGGCGCACAUAAUGGAAUUAAUUUUUGCAAUUUUGGAAUUCAUCCAUAAAUUUUUUCAGUUAUCUCUCUUAUUAGUUGCAAUGAUCUGUAUAUAUUGGGUGAACAAUUCUCCAACCAUUGAAGCAAUUGCACAUCUAAGAUCAAACCAUUUUGAGUUUCCUAGAAACCAUGUAUCUGUUGUAGAACAUCAACUAAGGGAUCGUCAUAUGUUU